rnacentral:sRNA from 1 species
UGAGCGGAUCCUCACACGACUGUAAUCCGAUUCUUUCCAGCGGCUUCUGCAACCAAGCGGGUCUUACCCCCGGUCCUCCGCAUCUCCAGUCCUCGCACCUGGAACCCCAAAGUCUCCGAGAGUCCCCGAAUCCCCGCUCCCAGGCUACCUAAGAGGAUGAGCGGUGCUCCGACGGCCGGGGCAGCCCUGAUGCUCUGCGCCGCCACCGCCGUGCUACUGAGCGCUCAGGGCGGCCCCGUGCAGUCCAAGUCGCCGCGCUUUGCGUCCUGGGACGAGAUGAAUGUCCUGGCGCACGGACUCCUGCAGCUCGGCCAGGGGCUGCGCGAACACGCGGAGCGCACCCGCAGUCAGCUGAGCGCGCUGGAGCGGCGCCUGAGCGCGUGCGGGUCCGCCUGUCAGGGAACCGAGGGGUCCACCGACCUCCCGUUAGCCCCUGAGAGCCGGGUGGACCCUGAGGUCCUUCACAGCCUGCAGACACAACUCAAGGCUCAGAACAGCAGGAUCCAGCAACUCUUCCACAAGGUGGCCCAGCAGCAGCGGCACCUGGAGAAGCAGCACCUGCGAAUUCAGCAUCUGCAAAGCCAGUUUGGCCUCCUGGACCACAAGCACCUAGACCAUGAGGUGGCCAAGCCUGCCCGAAGAAAGAGGCUGCCCGAGAUGGCCCAGCCAGUUGACCCGGCUCACAAUGUCAGCCGCCUGCACCAUGGAGGCUGGACAGUAAUUCAGAGGCGCCACGAUGGCUCAGUGGACUUCAAUCGGCCCUGGGAAGCCUACAAGGCGGGGUUUGGGGAUCCCCACGGUAGGUGUUUCUUGUGGGGACAGAGGCAGGGGAGGAAGAGGGACCCUCAGAAGUGGCCCUGCCUCACGGAGUGGCCUCUCCCACUCCAGGCGAGUUCUGGCUGGGUCUGG